rnacentral:rRNA from 1 species
UACGAACCGGACAAACGUUAUUCGGAAUCACUGGGCUUAAAGAGUGCGUAGGCGGUCUACCAAGUUGGGUGUGAAAUCCCUCGGCUCAACCGAGGAAUUGCGCUCAAAACUGGCAGGCUUGAGGAAGGCAGGGGUAAGCGGAACUGAUGGUGGAGCGGUGAAAUGCGUUGAUAUCAUCAGGAACACCAGUGGCGAAGGCGGCUUACUGGGCCUUUUCUGACGCUGAGGCACGAAAGCUAGGGUAGCGAACGGG